rnacentral:rRNA from 1 species
AAGACCGGGAUAGCCCGAGGAAACUCGGAUUAAUACCGGAUACCCUCCUCGGACCACAUGGUCUGUUGAGGAAAUGGUCCGCCGCUUCGGGAUGGCCUCGCGGCCUAUCAGCUUGUUGGUGAGGUAAUGGCUCACCAAGGCAAAGACGGGUAGCUGGUCUGAGAGGACGAUCAGCCACACUGGGACUGAGACACGGCCCAGACUCCUACGGGAGGCAGCAGCAGGGAAUAUUGCACAAUGGGCGAAAGCCUGAUGCAGCGACACCGCGUGCGGGAUGAAGGCCCUCGGGUUGUAAACCGCUUUCAGGAGGGACGAAAAUGACGGUACCUCCAGAAGAAGGCCCGGCCAACUACGUGCCAGCAGCCGCGGUAAUACGUAGGGGCCAAACGUUGUCCGGAUUUAUUGGGC